GACAGAGGGUGCAAACGUUGUUCGGAAUUACUGGGCGUAAAGCGCGUGUAGGCGGCUUUGCAAGUCGGGCGUGAAAUCCCAUGGCUCAACCAUGGAAGUGCACUCGAAACUGCAGAGCUAGAGCCUGGAGAGGAAGGUGGAAUGCUUGGUGUAGAGGUGAAAUUCGUAGAUAUCAAGCGGAACACCGGUGGCGAAGGCGG
rnacentral:rRNA from 1 species